AUUGAACGCUGGCGGCAGGCUUAACACAUGCAAGUCGAGCGGGGGAAGGUAGCUUGCUACCGGACCUAGCGGCGGACGGGUGAGUAAUGCUUAGGAAUCUGCCUAUUAGUGGGGGACAACAUCUCGAAAGGGAUGCUAAUACCGUAUACGUCCUACGGGAGAAAGCAGGGGAUCUUCGGACCUUGCGCUAAUAGAUGAGCCUAAGUCGGAUUAGCUAGUUGGUGGGGUAAAGGCUUACCAAGGCGACGAUCUGUAGCGGGUCUGAGAGGAUGAUCCGCCACACUGGGACUGAGACACGGCCCAGACUCCUACGGGAGGCAGCAGUGGGGAAUAUUGGACAAUGGGGGGAACCCUGAUCCAGCCAUGCCGCGUGUGUGAAGAAGGCCUUAUGGUUGUAAAGCACUUUAAGCGAGGAGGAGGCUACUUUAGUUAAUACCUAGAGAUAGUGGACGUUACUCGCAGAAUAAGCACCGGCUAACUCUGUGCCAGCCGCCGCGGUAA
rnacentral:rRNA from 1 species